AAGAUUAAGCCAUGCAUGUCUAAGUAUAAGCAAUUUAUACAGUGAAACUGCGAAUGGCUCAUUAAAUCAGUUAUCGUUUAUUUGAUAGUUCCUUUACUACAUGGUAUAACUGUGGUAAUUCUAGAGCUAAUACAUGCUUAAAAUCUCAACCCUUUGGAAGAGAUGUAUUUAUUAGAUAAAAAUCAAUGUCUUCGGACUCUUUGAUGAUUCAUAAUAACUUUUCGAAUCGCAU
rnacentral:rRNA from 1 species